rnacentral:rRNA from 1 species
UACGGAGGAUCCAAGCGUUAUCCGGAAUUACUGGGCGUAAAGAGUUGCGUAGGUGGCAUAGUAAGCGAAUAGUGAAAUCGUGUGGCUCAACCAUACACCCAUUAUUUGAACUGCUAAGCUAGAGUAUGAGAGAGGUAGAUGGAAUUCCCAGUGUAGGAGUGAAAUCCGUAGAUAUUGGGAGGAACACCGAUGGCGUAGGCAGUCUACUGGCUCAUUACUGACACUAAGGCACGAAAGCGUGGGGAGCAAACGGG